GACGUAGGGCGCGAGCGUUGUCCGGAUUUAUUGGGCGUAAAGAGCUCGUAGGCGGCUCGUUGCGUCGGCUGUGAAAACCCGCAGCUCAACUGUGGGCUUGCAGCCGAUACGGGCGGGCUGGGAUUCGGUAGGGGAGAUUGGAAUUCCUGGUGUAGCGGUGAAAUGCGCAGAUAUCAGGAGGAACACCGGUGGCGAAGGCGGGUCUCUGGGCCGAUAUCGACGCUGAGGAGCGAAAGCGUGGGGAGCGAACAGG
rnacentral:rRNA from 1 species